AAUGAAGAUUAUGCCUUAAUCUCUAUUUGAUCAAAAUCCUAUGCAUAGGCUCGUGAAGGCUAUUCCAGGUGUAAGCUCCUGAUGAGCUAUCCCAAGCAUAAGUUUCUGACGGGCUGUCUUAGAUAUAAGCUCCUAGAGGCUAUCUUAGGCAUAACCUUUUGGUGGACUGUUGCAGAUAUAAACUCCUGACUGGCUAUUCUAUGC
rnacentral:lncRNA from 1 species